rnacentral:rRNA from 1 species
GACGAACGCUGGCGGCGUGCUUAACACAUGCAAGUCGAACGGUGAAGCGCCUUCCUUUUUGGUGGGUGUGGAUGAGUGGCGAACGGGUGAGUAACACGUGAGUAACCUGCCCCCUUCUUCUGGAUAACCGCAUGAAAGUGUGGCUAAUACGGGAUAUUCUGGGUCUGUCGCAUGAUGGGUCUGGGAAAGAUAUUGUUUCGGUGGGGGAUGGGCUCGCGGCCUAUCAGCUUGUUGGUGGGGUGAUGGCCUACCAAGGCGGUGACGGGUAGCCGGCCUGAGAGGGUGGACGGUCACACUGGGACUGAGACACGGCCCAGACUCCUACGGGAGGCAGCAGUGGGGAAUAUUGCACAAUGGGCGCAAGCCUGAUGCAGCGCCGCCGCGUGAGGGAUGGAGGCCUUCGGGUUGUGAACCUCUUUCGCCAGUGAAGCAGGCCUGCCUCGUUUGUGGGUGGGUUGACGGUAGCUGGAGAAGAAGCGCCGGCUAACUACGUG